AUUUGACAUUUAGUGAGACUUACAGUUCAAUUUGUCAAAAAAGUUAAUGUGACAUGGUACCAAAGUGUAUACAUAUUAAUGCUCGUGACCGUACCUUGGUGUGAUAAAAAGGGUCAUCAUUUAUACCCAAAAACAAAGAUAAAAGAUGCAUAUGUCUGUUAUCCGAGGAGCUCGGUGGCGCAGCGGUAAACGCGCUCGGUCUGCGAUUGUUGAAGUUAAGCAACUUUCGCAAAGGCCGGUCAUAGGAUGGGUGACCACAAAAAAAAAUUUUCAUCUCGAGCUCCUCCGUGCUUCGGAAGGCACGUUAAGCCGUUGG